CCUACGGGAGGCAGCAGUGAGGAAUAUUGGUCAAUGGACGCAAGUCUGAACCAGCCAUGCCGCGUGCAGGAAGACGGCUCUAUGAGUUGUAAACUGCUUUUGUACGAGGGUAAACGCAGAUACGCGUAUCUGUCUGAAAGUAUCGUACGAAUAAGGAUCGGCUAACUCCGUGCCAGCAGCCGCGGUAAUACGGAGGAUUCAAGCGUUAUCCGGAUUUAUUGGGUUUAAAGGGUGCGUAGGCGGUCGGAUAAGUUAGAGGUGAAAUCCCGAGGCUCAACUUCGGAAUUGCCGUUGAUACUGUUCGUCUAGAGAGUAGUUGCGGUAGGCGGAAUGUAUGGUGUAGCGGUGAAAUGCUUAGAGAUCAUACAGAACACCGAUUGCGAAGGCAGCUUACCAAGCUACUUCUGACGUUGAGGCACGAAAGCGUGGGGAGCAAACAGGAUUAGAUACCCUGGUAGUC
rnacentral:rRNA from 1 species